CAGAUUUUCCUCAGCAUCCAUAAGAGCUAGGAACUUACUAUUUUUGAAAAUGAAAGCAGGGAUUCUUAUUUAAUCAACUGACUUUUUUGGUGAUUCUUAUGCUGGGAAUGAGAGAAAGGAAUAAUCUAAAAAACCGCAACAGAGAUUGGGGCACCAUUGUGCUAGAUGUUGUACAUCUAUCUAAUAAAAGGUGCUCGCAGCUCCAGAGAGCUUCCAAUCUAAGCAGAGAAAAGAUGGGAGAAUGGAAGAAGUAGUACCCUUACUUUACUCAUGGAGAGCUGAGCCUCUGAAGAAAUCCCCUUCUUGUGUCCAAUACAGUAGCCCAAAGAGGUUCAGCUAGUUUGGAUGAAUAUCCUUCUUUCAAGUACUUACACAAAUGACAUAUUUGGACCCACAAACACCUGCUUGUUCUCUGUCAAUGCACUUCAUUUCUGACCUCCAAUAUCCCUUCUAGUUUGCACCUGAACAAAGAGGAUGGCUUUUAUCUAUGCAGAGCCAGCCCUAAUACCCUGUUUUUAAUAAAAGCAUCUUCA